AUACGGAGGAUGCGAGCGUUAUCCGGAUUUAUUGGGUUUAAAGGGUACGCAGGCGGCCAUUUAAGUCAGCGGUUAAAUCGUGGGGCUCAACCCCAUUCUGCCGUUGAUACUGGGUGGCUUGAUUGCGGUCGAGGUUGGCGGAAUUCGUUGUGUAGCGGUGAAAUGCAUAGAUAUGACGAAGAACACCGAUUGCGUAGGCAGCUGACCAGACCGCAAAUGACGCUCAUGCACGAAAGUGCGGGGAUCGAACAGGAUUAGAUACCCUGGUAGUCCGCACAGUAAACGAUGAAUACUUGUUUUCGGCGAUAUAAUGUCGGAGGCAAAGCGAAAGCGAUAAGUAUUCCACCUGGGGAGUACGCCGGCAACGGUGAAACUCAAAUGAAUUGACGGGG
rnacentral:rRNA from 1 species